rnacentral:lncRNA from 1 species
UACCUUUGAGACAUGCUCAAUUUGUUAAAUACUAAUCACACUACUUCAUCUCCACUUGAGUAGAUCACUAUAAAUGCUGUCAUGCUACCUUUAUUUGCUUUAGUAUAUGUCUAGGUUUGGAGUAGUUUCAUUUAUCUCUUAAAUAAGCAUGGUGCUUAGUUUAGGAAUGAUGAUCUUACUUCCAAGGGAUUUUAAAUUAAGCAUGGUGCUUAGGUUAAAAUGCCCUCCUAAAUCAAAUUAGACAUGGUGUCUAGGUUGAUUUUUGAGCCGAUAGUAUGCUAUAGUAGAUAUUGGAUAUUUUGUUGGACUAACCCCUGCAGGAAAACUUUCAAUAUCGACGUGGGAAGUCCUGAGAUAAACUCACAUUAGAGACAAAGAGAGAGACACAUGAAGUUUAACAAUUUACAUAAGAAAGACAUAGCUCAUAAGAGAUGAUCCAUGAAGGGUGCCACAAACACGAUACACAACCGCUAAGAAAGGAAAGCUUCCACAAGGUGAUACUGUACCAUCACUCUUCAAAUAAGGUAACAUCUUAAGGUAUGUGACUAUCACUUUUAUAAGAUUCUCCUUGGUUCUGGCGUUCAUAUGAAUAAAAGAGACAAACAUUUAUGAUUUAUAACUCCAAAUUAACCAACCCCACUGAUUCAACAUGUUUAGUCCCUUAAUCUUUGAUCCCCACACUCCUAGUCAUAUGAGCUAAAAUGUUGCACAUUUAAUCUUUGGGAAGAUAUAAAGAAAAAGAUAUAUAUAUAUAUAUAUAGAUAGAUUAUCUUUCCAUUAGGUUGAGCGAUCUGAUCCGGCAAAUGUUUUAAAUGUUACACUCCUGAACUUAUCAUUCAUCAACUUUGUCUUGCUCACCAUGCUUAAGGUUAGAGAAGAACAAAUACACUUUUGGUUCUGUUGGUGUUUUCCACCAACAGAGCCCAUGCACUUGAUCUCUGCCUUGUCUCUAUGAGCAGGUACACUUCGAGCAAAACAUGGAGGGAUUUUACAACUCCUAGACUCCACCCAGAGAAGGACCUGGAUCUACGAGCACAAACACACUGAGUAGGAUGCUGCCAACGCCGUACUUCGAACUGCUGGACAAACGAAGAACAUGGGUGACACCGUAUCAAGAGGUGCAGACGUCAAGGUCCGCACCUGAAUCAAAUGAUGCACCUAAAGAAUGAACACGGUGAGAAGUCUUGUUCAGAAGACUUAAAACAUUGAACCCUCACCGAAAGAUAAAAUCGGUAGUUAUCCAUAUUUAUCCUUUUUUGCAUUCCCUUUUCCCUUAAAUUGUUUACUUUCCUUAAAUGGCUUGUUAGUUAAUCAUGCUAUCUUGAAAAAAAUAAAAAAUGUUAAAAAUAGUAAGCCCCAUGUGAGUAUGCUCGUGGCAUAAAACCCAUAAGUACAUUCACUGUGGUGGUGUAAAAAUAAAAUAAAUAUAUUCCUGUCCUAUAAAAAUGAAAAUAUAAAAAUAAAUUUAUGAUCCUACCAAAGAGAGUAACAUUUAUUAAGGAGGCUCAACAUGAUAAAGGCUAGAUAUUUAUGCUAACACUUAACUAGUUGUACAAAGCUUUGUUGUCUACUUAAGCUCCACAGAAUUCAAGGAUCAAAGAAGACUAGCAGACGGAGGACAUCCUAAUCGCUGUGAGGUUGCUGCCGACAUUCAAAUACACCUCCAUCACCUGCUAGCUACAUCAGAAGAAAUUACGUCAAAAUCCAGCUUAGGGGAGAGCACCCCCAUCUAUCUAGCUAAGUGUUUCUACUCGCAUUUAUACUUUACUCAAGUAAUAAAAAGAUGCAUAAUCAUAAAAACCCAAAUAAAGAUUUUAUACGUAUAUAUAUAUAUGCUUAGUUUGCUAAAUAAAUAAAUAAAUAAAGUUUGCUAUGAACCCUCAUGAUAAGCUCUCACAUGGAAAUAUGAAUAGUUGCUCUGCCAUGACUAGUUCUCAAAAGUGAAAUCUCUCUCAAGUUUAUGUAUGACUGUUAUGAAUUAAGAUUUGCUCUAAAACAUGAACUUGUGGGAAGAGUACCUGAUCAAAAGUCUAAGUCGUUAACAGAUAUGAUAUGGGAAGGUUGAGUUGCUAUUUAUCUGUUCCUAGAGAUGCUAGAAUUCUAGAGAAUUUUAUCUUUGAAGAUAUUUAAAAUGUUGCAUGAUGAGUUCCUGUAUGAUGAGAGUUUAAAAUCCUACCACAACCACAUAUACAUGCUUAUUAGACUAUGAACCAUACAUUUACUUUUUGCUGCUUAUGAGCAUUGAGUGUGGUCAAGCUGUGUAGACCCUUAGGAGCUUGUCAUGCGGUUAAAAUCAAGAUUCACUUGCACGUUCACUCAUACAUGCUGCUUCUACUCCAGAAGUACGCAUCCAAAUACAUCCACUCCUUUCCAUCUCCAGAUUCACCUAAAAUUAUUCUACUCCUAUCCAGGAGAGAAUAGCCAAAAACAUUGUCCUAUCCCUGUUAUUCCCUGUGAAAUAAAUGCUCUCAAUAUUUUGGUUACUACCACUUGCUACAUUAUUCUAGGAGGGUGGAUGCUCUGAAAAAAAGAAAAAAAUAAAAUACGAGGAAAUAAAAAGGGGCAAGUGCCCGGAACCUCGAAGAAAAGAAAAAGUGAGACGAGAGGUAAAAAUGGACAAGUGUCCGAUAGUAGAAUUAGGGGUACACGAUACCCACCUGAGAGAAAAGAAAAAAAAAGAGAAACUAUGGAGCAUCUCAUUCCCCUCAAAAAGCUUCAAAGUGCAAGAAAGGUAUGUAUCCCCUCAAAAGAGCAAACGUAGAAUUAGACUUUCACCAUUGUUUUCAUUGUUGACGUCCUUAAGUACCAAAUAUAAUCAUCAAAUAAAUAAAGAAAGGGAUCCAAAUGCAACCAACACCCAGACUUGGGGUUUUAUCUGACAGAAUUCCUCGAGUUUUGGUGUUUGUCUAUUUCUGCAGGGGGUUAUCAGGAAAUAUGGAAGAAAGGCCCACACGUCGGGUUUACAUAGAGAUAUUAAUGUGUCGCGCAAUUUUCUAUCAUCUAGAAGACUCCAGAAGCCACGGGAACGAAGCGGAGGCCGAACGGGCCCAGAGGCAGGGCGCCCGCCCUCCUUCCUUGGGCGCCCGCCCUGACUUGGAGUCCAAACAAGACUCUCUUCGGGGAUUACGCUCCAAUGACCUAAAGGAUCAAGAAUAACCGUUCAAUCAAUGUCGGUUUGAUCCGACAGCCCAGGUUCACUUGAGGGGACUAUAUAAGCAGACCCCCUGGCCCUAGGAGGAGGCACCCCUUGAUCAUUAUUCAUUAUUCAUAGAUAGAGCAAAAGCUAGGGUUUAGAGAUGAGAGCUCUGCUCUCUUCUCUAAACUAGAGUAGAUCUAGAUAGUAGCAAGAUGGAGAGCGAAGGAGGAUUAGAGGAGAGGCCGGCCUGUCGGUUCUUCCUCCGGUUUUACUUCGUUAUGAUCAAGCUCUAAUCAAGCUUGCUCAUGGGAUGACUAUGGUAAUCUACUUCUAAUUCAUUAUGCAAUUACUAAUCGUGUAUGUUCUGGUUCACAACUCUUUUGAGUACUUCUAAUCUAUAGGACCAUAUAAGUUAGAGUUGUAGUAUAGGUGUAAGCGUAGUGCUUAGACCUAGAUUACUUUUGGAUAUCCCCUGUCUAGCUGGAUCAUGUGGUAGGCCGCGUAGGUGACAGUUACAUCCUUUGUGGUGUACUCUUAUCACCUGGUUCGUCCCAGACAUAGACAUACCCCUUUGAAGUAGAGAAACCAUAGUUAUCCUCUCUAUUAUGCUACCAUCACCCAUAUACUAGAUUGCUCUACUCUCUAUUCCUAGAUUAUCACCCAUUGUUAUCUUAUCUUUAAUAAUGUUCUUAUUCAAUCCUACCAUCUUCCUAUUUACACUUAUCUAUCUAUCUUGGUUAAGUUAGAGCAUAGUUGGUUCUCCCGUUUCCCUGUGGAUACGAUAAAACCUUUAACCAGGUAAAAGCUAUAACGGUAUCCGUGCACUUGCGGAUUAUCUGUGUGCGUAUAAAUACCAUAGUACACUCUAGUGCCAUGCUGGAGAUGACAACCUAGUAUUCAAGUGGUGUUAGCAAGUGUCAACAGGCAUUUUUGGCGCCGUUGCCGGGGAAACGGUUGCUGAGUUGACUAUGAACUAGCUUAAUCAUUUUCUAAAAAAUAAAAAAAUAAAUAUAUAUAUAUAUACUUUUUCUUUUAUCUUUUGCCUUAUCUCUGCUAUUCUUUCUUCUUAUCUAAUCAUUGAUCUCUGGUCUAUCAUGAAUUUAAACAUGUCUAUCUAUAAAUUUCAUAGACCUACGGGCACACAUCUGGAACCACCAAAAUCUUCAAAGCCUAUCAUAGCGUCUAGUUUUGAGAUAGACCCCGAAUACAUAGAAUUUAUUCAAAAACAACCUUUCUCAGGAAAAGGUGAGGAAAACCCAUACACACACCUAAGAGAGUUUUAUCGAGUCUGUGACCUCCUUCGCAUAGAAGGCAUGUCCGAUGAGACCCUUAAAUGGAAGCUCUUUCCGUUCUCUUUAACGGGAAAAGCUAGACAUUUGUACAAACUCAAAGUAGGGAGUGUUCAUGGAGAUUGGAAAGAGUUAUAUAAUAGUUUUCUUUCUAAAUAUUUUCUAAUUUCCAAAGUGUUGGAACUUCAGCGUGAGAUUCUUUCUUUUAGACAACUAGAAGAAGAAUCUCUUGGCAAAUCAUGGGACCGCUUCAUUAACCUUACUCUCACAGGCCCAAAGCUUUCUAUUCCAGAAGAAGUUCUUCUAAUUCACUUUUUUGAGGGCCUUAGUAGGGAAAAUAAGCGAACCCUUCAUGCGGCCUCUGGAGGAUCUUUCCACCACCUAUCCGCUAGUGAAGCUUGGAAUUUGAUUGAUUUAAUGAGCGGAAAGUAUCCUAGCUUUUAUAUCCCUGAGAAAGAGAAAGAACCCGUUCCUAGAAAAGAAGAAGAAGUUUUGAUAGCCAGAUCACAACCAUUUCAAUUCCAAACUUUAGCUAUCGAUCCUAAACCAUCAAUACGCAAAAUUCUCCAAGGGAGGAAGGAAUUCCGACCUUAAAUCUUUCAGAUGCUAAUGGUUUAGACUUCUGGUUCCAUAAGAGACCUUCAAGCAGGGAUAAUUCAAAUCCUCGCAAUAAUGGUUCUUUUAGAGAAUGUCCUGGUUCCUGUUAUGAAGAAGUCAAGGAUAACAUAUCAAGUGAAGGAGAGCUAAACCAUAUAGAAGAUUCUAUCUGCUCCCCUUCCAUGUUCACAAAUUUUAAAUCCAUCCUUGACCUUAGAGACCCCUCUUAUCCCUCUCCUUUUAAGUCUCAUGAUGAUCCUAACAAUCCAUUAAGACGACCAAACUAUAGGAGUCAUGAAGACCAUAAGGAUGACAUGUCAAGUAAUGCCAUAGAAGGAGAGCUAAGCCAUAGAGAAGAUUCUAUGAGCUCCCCUUUCCUGAUCACAAGUUCCAAAUGGCUAGAAUGUGUAGAAUGUAUGGAUAAGGAAGAAGCCUUAAUGGAUUCUGACUUUAGCUCAAUUUCAAAUGGUGAGUUGUUGACUCCCUUUGAAAUUGGGAUUCAUCCAACUAUAGAAAAGGACAUAAAUGAGACCAAUCCAGGAGAAACUCCGAACAUUUAGAUUGGAGACAAAGAUAACAUUAAUGAGUAUGGAAUUUAUUUCAUAGCCACUUCAUUUACUCCAUGCUCAUAUGCAACAUCUUCCCAAUCUAUUGGUCUCUCCAACAUCACCACAUUUGAGAUCUCCAACCCCCUCUUCCUUUCUAUUUAUAAAAACUUUAAAAGGGCGGUUGUCGAUGCAUAUGUCUAUAAUAAAUAUUGCAGAUCUCGUUGAGUUGAUCUUGAUAUAAGUCAGCGUUGGAAGAGAAACCACUUCGCCGACAUAAAUUGAUGGUUUCCCAAGGACAAGCUUAGUGUCCUAAAAUAAGCACUGAUCAGAUCAUAACAUGAGCUUUUAAUUAUUUGCAACAUUACCUUGUGUAUUGAGCAUAUAAGGAUAAUUGUAAAAAUAUUCCUUCAGGUAUUCUUGUCACUAACCUUUCCAGGAUUGGAGCAAGAAGAUAGGAUGAAUGACAAGCACAAGGUAUGUCCAACCAAUCAUCAUACAACAUUGAAUUAAAUUCAUCCAAACAUGAAUUUUGCAAAAUUCAAGCUUGGGGGAGUAAUUAACAUCCUUUGCCAUGUUGCUAUGUUGGUUGUCCCUACCUUUGAGACAUGCUCAAUUUGUUAAAUACUAAUCACACUACUCUAUCUCCACUUGAGUAGAUCUCUAUAAAUGCUGUCAUGCUACCUUUGUCUAUUUUCUAGCAAGUGUUGGUUUGGAAGUACUCGACAUACUUCCAUUGGCAUUUAAAUUGAGCAUGGUGCUUAGGUUAAAUAGCCUUCCUUAAUCUGAUUAGACAUGGAGUCUAGUUUGGUUACUGAACUAAAAACUGCUUGAGUAGAUAUUGGUAUAUUUUGUCGGACUAACCCCUGCAGGAAAACUUUCACUAUCAACCUGGGAAGUCCUGAGAUAAACUCACAUCGGAGAUGAAGAGAGUAACACAUGAAGUUUAACAAUUUGCACAAGAAGGACAUAGCUCAUUCACCAUACAGAGAUGAUCCAUGGAAGGAGACAAAGUACAUAAAAAAGAUACACAACCACUACGAAAGGAAAGCUUCCACAAGGUGAUACUAUACCAUCACUCUUCAAGUAAGGUAACAUCUUAAGAUAUCUGACUAUCACUUUUAUAAGCUUCUCCUUGGUUCUGGCGUUCACAUAAAUAAAGAGACAAACAUGUAUGAUUCAUAACUCCAAACUAACCAACCCAACUGAUUCAGCAUGUUUAGUCCUUUAAUCUUUGUUCCUAGUACUACCUCCAUGAUCCGACACUCCUAACCAUAUGAGCUAAAAUGCUACACAUUCAAUCUUUGAGAGAUAUAAAGAAAAAGACAUAUAUAUAGAUAGAUUAUCUUUCCAUAAGGUUGAGCGAUCUGAUCUGACAAAUGUUAUAAGUGCUACACUCAUGACCUUAUUAUCCAUCAACUUUGUCUUGCUCACUAUGCUUAAGGAUUAAAGAAGAACAAAUACACUUUUGGUUCUAUUGGUAUUUUCCACCAACAGGGCCCAUGCACUUGAUCUUUGCCUUGUCUCUAUGAGAAAGUACACUUGGAGCAAAACAUGGUGUAGAUUUACAACUUCCAGAUUCCACCAAGUGAAAGACCUGGAUCUACGAGCACAAACACACUGAGCAGGAUGCUGCCAACGCUGCACUUCGAAUUGCUGGGCAAACGAAGAACACUGAUGCGAACCCGCUAGGGUUUUUGGCCUGAUCUUUCGAUGAGAGGCGCUGGAUAACUCGAUUAGUGGAUGGAGAUGACGUUCACGGCCCGACUACAGCCCUCAAGACCGCACCUUAGCAACCGAUACACCACGUCCAACAGCCGUCACGAUCUUGUGGAGCGCGACAACCAGCCCCUAGGGCUCCCGUCCUGCAAGCAAUCGAAGAACUAGCAAGAACGAGGAAACAAUCACUGAAUUUGCAAGAUGAAUUGAAGGUUUCAAACUGAAUCUGAAUCAACAAUGGGGUUUCGAAGACAAGGAGACGGGCGGCUGAUCCUGCACGCGCGCCUACAAGCAAGUAGCGAAGGCUAAACUUGAUCUAAACAAAACCCAGUUGUUCAUGGCGGCUCUAGAUGUAAAUAAUAGAGGGGAGGAUGACCAAAGGGGUGCUAGAGUCGUCCUCCAACCCUAGGACGCGUCCCUAAUGGACUCAACUUGAUACAUGGGCCAUUGGUCCAAAAUAGGGUGACGCAGCACCAAAACAGAAAAAGGUGUCGGCACGAAAACAAGGACUGCGCCCGACUCAUAAGCUACAUAGAUAUGUGGUUGGACCCAUUGGAAAGUAGACUUCAUGAGCUUUCCAACAAGUAUAGGAACGUCCCAGUUGGAGUCCAUAUGACGCCGUGGUGAUCCAUACAAGUUAGAGUUAUUUUCCAGUCCGAAUCCAACUCCCAAAACGUGUUGGGUUUGGACUGUUUGUUUCCUUGCUUUAGAAGCGACGUGGUAACUUGAUAGAGGAUGUUGUGGAGGCUUGGACCUGAUCUCCAAUCACCUUUGUUAUUUUAUCACUCUUCCCAUAUGCAAUCAGCCCUUGAAGUUGGUGUUGCCUCAAAUUUUGAAUGCAGUUGAACCUUCCCUUGCUGAUCUUGUCCAUUAUUCCUGAGCAACACGAAAGUGCACGUGUCUCCAUUGUCUAAAUAUGAUUGACAAGAGUUUAAAACUGAACUUACUUGAAGGUUGAGUUGACGGGCACGAGCACGAGUAAGAGGACCAGCUAUAGGUUGUGUCGGAGAGGAUGUAGGACCAGCUAUAGGUUGUGUCGGAGAUGUAAGACCAGCUAUAGGUUGUGUCGGAGAGGAUGUAGGAGAGGAUGUAUCACUGGUGUUGAUGUCCUCAUCAAUGGGUGACACUGUAUCAAGAGGUGCAGACAUCAAGGUCCGCACCUGAAUCAAAUGACGCACCUAAAGAAUGAACACGGUGAGAAGUCUUGUUCAGAAGACUUAAAACAUUGAACCCUCACCGAAAGGUAAAAUCGGUAGUUAUCCAUAUUUAUCCUUUUUGGAUUCCCUUUUCCCUUAAAUUAUUUACUUUCCUUAAAUGGCUUGUUAGUUAAUCAUGCUAUCUUGAAAAAAAUAAAAAAUGUUAAAAAUAGUAAGCCCCAUGUGAGUAUGCUCGUGGCAUAAAACCCAUAAGUACAUUCACUGUGGUGGUGUAAAAAUAAAAUAAAUAUAUUCCUGUCCUAUAAAAAUGAAAAUAUAAAAAUAAAUUUAUGAUCCUACCAAAGAGAGUAACAUUUAUUAAGGAGGCUCAACAUGAUAAAGGCUAGAUAUUUAUGCUAACACUUAACUAGUUCCACAAAGCUUUGUUGUCUAUUUGAGCUCCACAGUAUUCAAGGAUCAAAAAAGACUAGCAGACGGAGGACAUUCUAAUCGCUGUCAGGGUGCUGCCAACAUUCAAAUACACCUCCGCCAUCUGCUAGCUACAUCAGAAGAAAUUACAUCAAAAUCUAGCUUGGGGGAGAGCACCCUCAUUUAUCCACCUAAGUAUUUCUAUCUACGUUUAUACUUAUACUUUGUUAAAAUAAUAAAAAGAUGCAUAAUCAUAAAAACCCAAAUAAAGAUUUUAGGCUUAUAUAUAUAUCUUUUCUUAGUUUGCUAAAUAAAUAAAUAAAUAAAUAAAGUUUGCUAUGAACCCUCAUGAUAAGCUCUCACAUGGAAAUGAUGAAUAGUUGCUCUACCAUGACUAGUUCUCAAAAGUGAAAUCUCUCUCAAGUUUAGGCAUCACUGUUAUGAAAUAAGAUUUGCUCUAAACCUGAACUUGUGGGAAGAGUACUUGAUCUAAAGUCUAAGUCGUUAACGGAUAUGAUAUGGGAAGGUUGAGCUGCUGUUUAUCUGUUCCUAGAGAUGCUAGAAUUCUGGAGAAUUUUAUCUUUGAAAAUCUUUAAAAUGUUGCAUGAUGAGUUCCUGUAUGAUGAGAGUUUAAAAUCCUACCACAGCCACAUAUACAUGCUUAUUAGACUAUGAACCAUACAUUUACUUUUUACUGCUUACGAGCAUUGAGUGUGGUCAAGCUGUGUAGACCCUUAGGAGCUUGUCAUGCGGUUAAAAUCAAGAUUCACUUGCACGUUCACUCAUAUAUGCUGCUUCUGCUCCAGAAGUACGCAUCCACAUACAUCCACUCCUUUCCAUCUCCAAAUUCACCUAAAAUUAUUCUACUCCUAUCCAGGAGAGAAUAGCCAAAAACAAUUAUCCUAUCCCUGUUAUUCCCCAUGAAAUAAAUGCUCGAGAUAUUUUGGUUACUACCACUUGCUAUAUUAUUUCAGGAGGGUGAGUGCUCUAAAAAAAAGAGAGAAAAGAAAAGAAAAAAAGUGAAUACGAGGAAAUAAAAAGGGGCAAGUGCCCGGAACCUCGAAAGAAAAGAAAAAGUGAGACGAGAGGUAAAAAUGGACAAGUGUCCGACAGUAGAAUUAGGGGUACAAGAUACCCACCUGAGAGAAAAGAAAAAGAAAAUAUAGAGCAUCUCAUUCCUCUCAAAAACCUUCAAAGUGCAAGAAAGGUAUGUAUCCCCUCAAAAGAGCAAAAGUAGAAUUAGACUUUCACCAUUAUUUUCACCAUUAUAACCAUCAUCACCAUACACCAUUCAUCCGCCACACAUGCACAUCUUGGUUUGACUUAUGGACUUGUUUCUCUGGAUCCAUGGUUUGACUAUGCAAUAAAUGUCUUGUAAUUAUGUAUGAGCUGUCUCCCACCUAUGAGCUCCAGAUAUCAAACCUUAUUAGAGUAGGGUGAGAGAGAAGGCAAUAUCACUAUGCCUCAUACCACAAAUACUACAUACUCUGAGAGAAGGCGUAUAUUAUCACUGCCUUGGUAAGGAUCCAGAAAUACCACAAAAGAGAGACUAGAGAGAGUCAUACAAGGAAUCUCUGAGUUUUAUUUGAAAAUCUGCAAAAAACUACAGAGCUAUAGUUGAUCAAAGAACAAGAGACAUGGUGCUUGACUUGACCGUUCUAUCUUUUAACUGCUCAAGACACAAGUGACGGUUGCAAGCCCCAUGGUGAAAGGUAAUAUGAGUAAGUUUAAAUCUUAACAGUUUACCCUAACCUAGAGAUGAGAUCUUGUUUAAACGCAUGUGUACCUUUAAGGCAUAAAACCACUGCAGAAACUCUUGAGUCCAUCCCUGCUCAGGGACGAGCAAGAUGUAAGUUUGGGGGAGUUGUUGACGGUCCUUAAGUACCAAAAAUAAUCAUCAAAUAAAUAAAGAAAAGGAUCCAAAUGCAACCAACACCCAGACUUAGGGUUUUAUCUGACAGAAUUCCACGAGUUUUGGUGUUUGUCUAUUUCUGCAGGGGGUUAUCAGGAAAUACGGAAGAAAGGCCCACACGUCGGGUUUACAUACAGAUAUUAACGUGCCGCACAAUUUUCUAUCAUCUAGAAGACUCUAGAAGCCAGGAGAACGAAGCAGAUGCCGAACGGGCCCACAGGCAGGGCGCCCGCCCUGACUUGGAGUCCAAACAGGACUCUCUUCGGGGAUUACGCUCCAACGACCUAAAGGAUCAAGAAUAACCGUUCAAUCAAUGUCAGUUUGAUUCGACAGCCCAGGUUCACUUGAGGGGACUAUAUAACCAGACCCCCUGGCCCAUGGAGGAGGCACCCCUUGAUCAUUAUUCAUUAUUCAUAGAUAGAGCAAAAGCUAGGGUUUAGAGAUGAGAGCUCUCCUCUCUUCUCUAAACUAGAGUAGAUCUAGAUAG